CGCAUUUAACCCUGCUUUGUUUAAUCCUUGGGGUGUAACACGUUUGUCAGACGUUUGUCAAAGGACGUCUGCUUAUUCCAUAACUGUGAUGUCUUUCCUUUGGGCCCUAAGCUCUCAGUACUUUUCUUGUCCCGGGGUCUGAGAUCCGGCAGCACUUUUUGGAGUGAGACUUUAUUACAGCUAUUACCACACGGUAUGGUAACUAUUUGUUCGUCAUUCCCGCCCCCGUCCCGCCCCUUCUCUGCAAACAAACUUCCCGUAGGCUGGGGCCUAGACUGUUUACCUUUGCACCUACAGGGCUUCUCUCCUGCUGAGACACAGGAAGAACUCAAUAAAUGGUUUUGUGUGUCAGUAAUUGAGAAGUAACUUAGCUGGGUGAUUCCAGCUUGGUGUUUCUCAUGAAGGUGCAGUCAUCUGAAGACUCAACUGGGGCUGAAGGAUCCAUUUCCAAGAUGGCUGACUUACAUGUCUGGCAACAGAGCCCCAGGCCUGGAAGAGACUUCUUAGGUCCUGAGGGCUGGGAAGGACAUGCCAGUGAGCCCAAGGCUGAAUAUGAUCAUGGGACUCCCCCUGCCUCUGGAAGAGACGCAUGAGGAAACGGAGGGUCUGCGGGUGGGUCACAGGACAGGGUAAUGCAAUUUAGGAAGAUUUUCCAAGUGGCCUCAGCUUGACCACUUCCUCUUGUCUCUGAGCCUUGGGGCUCAAGGCAGCCUUUUAAGCCAGGUGGUGGGAGAGCAGCUGAGCUCUGUCAGUCACCCCACUGCCCCCUAUGGGUAUGCCCUGCUCCCCAACUCUGGCCCCUGAAUCCCUUUAGUCCACUAAGAAUAAACAUACUACUUUAUGAAAAAUGCCAAAGCCCCACCUCAUGGAAAACGCUGCUCAUGACUCGUGCCCUUGCCUCAUCCAGCUCCUUUCACCCACAGCCCAUCACCC